rnacentral:lncRNA from 1 species
GAUGCGGAGGCCCUGGGGGGAUGUGCAAAAGGGGGUCACCUCCAUUUCCAAAUUAGCAGGCACCAAGGACAUGGGAGAAGAUUUCUAGAGCAGCUGAAGUUUCGGGGAGGGAUCAGGCAACUCCUGUUCCCCUCACCCACUUCUGCUUGCUUCCCCUGCCAGGGGGUCUGCCUGUCCCUGAGCCCUGACCGCUACCAGUCCCGCUUUGGUGUCCAUCCAGGACUUAGCUGUUUCCUUACAGCUCCCCUUUCUCCGCCCUGCAAAGCUUCACCCCGAGGUCCAGGCAGCAGAGGCCACACUACGGUCCCACCCCAAGGCUCCUGUCCUCUGAGACAACUUCCAGCUGUGGCCACAAACGUCUCCGAAACAUCUCUCCCAUCGGCCCCCACACCAAACCCUCCAUGCGCUUCAGUGGCUCCUCUCUGCCAUGAAGGAACUGGAGCGCACGCGCCUGCCUUCUGCUCCACAGCCCACCCCGCACCGGGGCUGCUCGUCUCCCAGCCCACCGGGCUCAGCACCUCCUGCCCCCAUGCCCAGGCUCAGCACCUCUUUUGCUCAUGUCCAGGCUCAGAAUCUCCUGCCCUCAUGUCCAGGCUCCUUCUCUCAUUCCCAGGCUCAGGCUCAGCACCUCCUGCCCCCACGCCCAAGCUCAGCAUCUCCUUCCUCCAUUCCCAAGCUCAGCAUCUCCUUCCCCAUGCCCAAGGAGCUCAGAGAGGCUCAAGGAACACCCAAGCGAGACACCCAAAAGCCAGGGCAGCCACCAAGCUGCUUCUCUGCUGCCAUCUGUGCCCCUCAUCCGACCGCUCUGCCUGCGCUGGCGAGCAGCCCAGGCAGCUUUUGGGUAGCAAACAGCAAUGUGGUCCCCAAGCAUCGCUACAGGAUCUGGUGCCUUCCCAGGAGGUGACAGAGCAGGACCAGCGAGACCACUUGGAGGAAAUGGCCCUCAGUUCUCUGGCACAUCAUGGAGCCGCCACGAUGAAAAUGGCGUCACCACAGCGCGCCGCCUCUGUGCGUGUUUUCGCUGACAAGGCCUUUUGGUUCCCCCACCAGAUUAGGGACAAUGGAGGGUAUUUAACCUGA